CAAAAGCUUGGUCCUGACUCUACUAUCAACUUUAGCUAGACUUACACAUGCAAGUAUCCGCACCCCUGUGAGUAUCGCCCCAAAAGCCCCAUAACCCGGAGAGAAGGAGCCGGCAUCAGGCACAUUUCCCAUAGCCCAAGACGCCUCGCCUAGCCACACCCCCAAGGGAACUCAGCAGUGAUAGACAUUAGGCUAUAAGUGAAAACUUGACUUAGUCAAAGCUAAGAGGGCCGGUAAAACUCGUGCCAGCUACCGCGGUUAAACGAGCGGCCCAAGUUGAUAGGCUACGGCGUAAAGCGUGGUUAGGGGGAAAUACCUAAAAACUAAAGCCGAAUGCCAUCAUGGCUGUUAUACGCUCACGAUGGUUAGAAGCCCAAUCACGAAAGUAGCUUUAAAACGACCUGAACCCACGAAAGCUAGGACACAAACUGGGAUUAGAUACCCCACUAUGCCUAGCCCUAAACACCAAUAGUUCAAGACAUCCACUAUUCGCCCGGGUACUACGAGCAUUAGCUUAAAACCCAAAGGACCUGGCGGUGCUUUAGAUCCACCUAGAGGAGCCUGUUCUAGAACCGAUGACCCCCGUUCAACCUCACCUCUCCUUGCUCCUUCCAGCCUAUAUACCGCCGUCGCCAGUUUACCCCUUGAGGAACCCACAGUAAGCAAAAUUGGUAUAGCCCAGAACGUCAGGUCGACGUGUAGCGUAUGGAGAGGGAAGAAAUGGGCUACAUUCCCUAACACAGUGAAUACGAAAGGUGCGCUGAAACGCGCGCCAUGAAGGAGGAUUUAGCAGUAAGCAGGAAAUAGAGCGUCCCGCUGAAAUUGGCCCUGAAGCGCGCACACACCGCCCGUCACUCUCCCCGAGCUUAAAUAAAAAUUUAACUAAAACCCCAAACUUGCAAAGGGGAGGCAAGUCGUAACAUGGUAAGUGUACCGGAAGGUGUACUUGGAACAAA
rnacentral:rRNA from 1 species